GCACUCCAAACGCAGCGCAGAUUUAUUGCGCUCACCGAUAUUUAUGGUAUUUUGUGUGGUUUUGUUCUGUUUAAUUUUUUCCUCCUGGUUUCAAGUCGAGUGUGUAAUAACCCAGAUCGGAUGCUACCUACCUAACCACCAGCCGCCAGCAGCAGCCGCAAUCUGUUGCACCGAUAAAGCGUUCUGCAACCAAUUUUGUGGUCCACCGUCGUCUAACGUCUAGCGUCUUCAAGUCGGCUCGUUUGAACGGCGUCGAUUGCGGUGUUUGAUUUAUAAUUCUUAUAGUGUAGAACUGGCUUACGUCCGCAAUCAUUCGUGCGUGUACACAGAAAUCGUAGUCACAUGCCAACGUAUUUCAGCUAAUCGAAGUUCGAGUUUGGUAUGAUUGUGUAAUUGUUAUUGGUUUUUAUUGGUCUAGUGCACUCAUCAUCGGCAGUGUUAUCAAAUCAGUUGUAACCGUUGGUUAAAAGCGAAAUUUGAGCAAAUUCAAAUAAAUGUACUAAAAAUAAUCUUUCAUAUACUUAUUCCAAGCCAUCGUCACUGGAUAGUUUUCAUAAAUUCACAAACGGUUUGAGUCUCGGGUAAACAAUGCCCACCGCGACACACUAUCCAGUUGAUUUACCGUCAUCGAACGGAACUACCAACUGGGCAGAGAUAAAAAGUUUUUCUUUUUCCCAGCUUUUGUGUGGUAAAACAAUUACAACACAAAAGCUGGGAAAAAGAAAAGCUUGGUAAAUAAGCAGUGCCGGCAAACGACUUCAACCAUUUCAGGAAGUCAGAAGUGCGCGACGGAAAAUUAAAUUUAAUAUUGAAUUAUUGGAAAAAAGGUGAAUAUAGAUGGUAGAGGAAAACGGAUAGAAUCUACGUAAGAAAACAGGAUUAUAGAACAAUAGAAGGAUAAGGAAAAUAGAAAGAGAAGAGCUGAAAAAACGGAAGAAAAGGUCCGUCCAGCGAGCCUUUUAUUUUACGUGCUGAUUUAUUUCCAGCAACAGCUCAGCCAUCCAUUUUGUUGGACGUCUGAAUUCCGUUUCCGCCAUCGCGCAGAAGAGAUACUGAAAGCGCAGAAGUCCCCGACGAAGUAGCUAGGGGCAGCUGGAAGGUUAAGCAUAGGAGACGGUGUACCAGAACACGGAGAGAGAAAGAAAAACCUAAGUCAUAGUUACCGCAAGUAUACGCAUGCAAACUGUUGAAAUAUUGUGACGUCAUAAACAUUAAGGAGAAAGAGGAAAUAGGGACAGGUGAAAAGAAAUAGAGAAUAGAAAAAUGAA